GAAAAGCGGCAACAAUAAAUUCGAUUCGAUUUAACAUCUCCUUUUUUAGAUAGGAAACAUUUGUCACUUACAAAUCUCUCCCGGCAAUCAACCGAUCGAUAAUAACCGUCAGCUGACCGACGCUUCAGGGAUGUAUCAGGCGACGCGCGGCGCGCAACACUACGAUAUUAACAUCUAUAAGUGCGAAUUGCUAGUGCGUUGCGAUAGUUGUAAGAGAAAAAUUUUACAAAAGGGCGCUAAUGGUAAUAUAUCACUCAUCAAGUGUCUCUGAUGGCGAUUUCCUGCGAUUUUUAGAAUAAAUUAUAGAGGAUUUGAUGAUAAGAGAAGAAUGUAUGAUAGUAAGAAACUUUAAUAUAGAUUUUUAGAUAGAUUCAUUUUACAAAAAAAAUUACGAACAAUAAUAUCUAGUCUACGUAUGAAACAAAUAGUUAAUAGUCCGACGAGAAUUAUGAAAAGUAGACAAUGUUACGUAUUUCUUACUCGCUUAUCUAUCGCCGUCUAAUUUCUAACAAUUAUGACGCCAUCGCCAUGCCUCCCUCUACCCUAUCAUUCCUCAUCCUGCCUUUUACCUCUCCAGGACUUCCGUUUCCGUUUACAUUUUUCUCUAUUUUUUAUUCACUCUUCAUACUUGCAUUCACUCUCCCUUCCCUCAUCCAUUUUUUCCUUCUUUCCCUCUCCACUUCUCUCAUCCACCCCUCUUUUCCUUUAUCAUCUGCUAAUAUCCUUCCCACCUCAUACUGCCAACUUCCCUUUCCCCUCUCCCUCCAAAAUUUGCAUCUCGCAGAUAUGCUCCCAUGUCUCCUCCUCCCCCUUCCCCUCAUUGCCUUUAUCACUUCCCUUCUACUUACCGAAUCGAAUGCUGCCUUCAGAUCUACAAAAAAUGCUAUAAACUUUCCUCCUUUCCUACUAAUCUUCCUGUUUACCAAAUAAUUUAGCACGUAGUUGUCUAUUAUUCCCAUCCCCUUCUUAAAACCUGUCUGAUUUGGCGGUAUCAUCCCUCUCCCUUCAAUUUCCUCUCUCAUCCUAUUUGCUAAUAUCGUCACGUAUAUUUUGUACAAGGAGGGAAUAAUCGUUAUACUCCUAUAAUCCCCCACUCUAUCUCCUUGCCCCUUUUUUAGUACCAGUACUACCACCCCCUUCUUCCAUUCCUCCGGCCAUCCUUCCCCUACCCAGAUCCUGUUACAUACUGUCCAUAUCCAUUCUUUAAUCUCUUCUCCUCCGUAUUUCUACACUUUAUUUGAAAUCCCGUCUAUCCCCAUCGUUUUAUCCUCCUUUAAUUUUCUAAUUAUUCUAUCUAUUUCUAUCCUAUCUAUUUCCAUUUCCUCUCCUAACCUCUUUUUUCUCUCCCCCAUCUCACUCUUUUCUCUAUUCCCCUCAAUAGCCUCCUAAAAUAUCCUUCCCAUUCCUCUAUCUUUAUCUCCCAAUUUAUUCCCCUUUUUCUCUUCCUAUCCUUGUCCACCUGCCAUACCUGUCCGUUACCGCUUCUUCGACCUCCCUUUCCCAUCUUUUGUUCUCCUCGGCUUUUUUCUUAUUCAUAGCUCCUUAUAUUCUUUCCUCCCCUCUCUGUAUAUUUCUCCUCCUAUUUUGCCUUUUUUCAUUCUCUUAACCUCCUUCUUAUCUCUCUUUUUUUAUCGCGCACUGCAUGUCCCACCACCCUUUCCUUCCCACUUUUUCUCCCCUCCUCUCCCCUACUGAUUCUUUCCAAAUAUUCCUAAUCUUCUUCUCUAUCUCAUUCAUCGUCUUUUGAAUAUCCUCUCCUCCCCAUUCCAUGUCCCUUAAACCUUGUCUGAAUUUUUCCCUUCCCAUCUCAUUCCAUAUCCACCUAUUCUAUCCACCUGAUCUAUCCUUCCCUAUUCUCUCCUUAACUUCCUUACCCUUUAGCCAUACUAACACUGGAUGGUGAUCCGAAUCCAUUUUUUCACCUAUCUCUAGUUUUGUCACCUCCUUCACUAUCUCUUCAUUUCCUAACACGUAAUCUAUUACAAAUUCUCCUCUUGUGUCCAUUCUCCUUCUAUACUCCCGUUUAUAAUAAACCAUUCUCUUUUCUUUAUAAAUUCUAACAAUAUCUCUCCUUCUUUAUUUAUUUUACUGUCCUUUGACCUUCUGCUAUCCCAUUCUUUCCCCUCCUCCCCCAUUUCCAUUUCCCUCCCUCUCCUCCUGUUCUAGCAUUAAAGUCCCUCCCUAUUACCAUCCUCACCUCUUCUUCUCUCUCCUCUAUCCACUCCAUUGCUUCCAGCUUCUUUUCAUGUCCCCAUUGAUAUACUAUAAGCCCCUACUAUUUUCAGGACCUCUUUACCCACCUGACAUUCCUUCUUAUUAUCUUCUUUCCUUCAUCCACCUUAUCCCUCUCUUUCCCCUUUAUUGUUAUUUUUCUCCUGACUCCCAUAAUUAUCCCUCCCUUAGCUCUCCCCUUUUUAUGUUCUCUUCUUGUCUCUUGUGCGUUCCAUUCGUGACUCUUGGGACAUUUCUUUUUUAUCUCUCCCCAGUCCUUUUUCUCUACCCAAGUUUCUAUUAGUAUCAUUACACCCCACUUCUCUAACCCUUUCCAAAUUUAAAUCUUUAUUUUUUAAUCCUGCUACAUUCAAAAACGCUACGCUUAUAUCAUUCCUAGCUUCACAUUCUUUCUUCUCUCUCUUUUCCCCACCUCUCCAUCCCUCUCUUUUUCUUCCCUAACUCCUUCCUCUCAACUUCCUCUUUCUUCUCUCCUCCCCUUAACCCCCCGUCCUACUUCUACCUCCAUUUCCUCCAUUUCUAUUCUCUUUUCUUUCUUUCCCUCUCUCCUUCCAUCUCCUCCCUUCCAGUACGGUAUUAGAAGAAAUGUAUUAGAAUGGAUAAAAACAUGGAUAAAAACAAUGGAUAAAUAUUAAAAAAUAGAUUGCAACAAUUUCGUAUUAGUAAUUAUUGCUCAAAAUUAAUGCGAACUUGGCACAGGGUGUCACUGGGAUCAGUGUUGGGAUCCUUGCUAUUAUAUGUAUAUAUUAAUAGUAUAAUAAAAAUUUGCCCAGCAAACUAUAGUAUAAAAAUGUUUGCGGAUGAUACACUAAUAUAUGUAGCUAAAGAAGGUAGGGCAGAAAUAGAAGAAAAAAUGAUUUUUAAUAUAGUUGAAGAGUGGAUGAGAUUGAAUAUGCUAAAAAUGAAUCAGAGAAAAAUAAAAUUUAUGAUUUUGAGAAGUAUAAAAAAAUAAUUAAGGGGAACUAUUGUAUAAAAAUGCCUAGACGGAAGGGAAAUAGAGCGUAUAGAGGUAAUAAAGUACUUAGGUAUAAUUAUUGAUAACAAACUUAGAUUUAAGGAUUAUUGUGACUAUACGUUAAAAAAAUUGGAAGACACGGGUUUUUAAAUAGAAUAGGAAACUACAUAUCGACAUAUACGAAGUGUAUUGUAUAUAAGCCGAUAAUAAUACCCCACUUUGAGUAUUGUGCAACAUUAUUAGUAGAUAUGGAAAAAACACAAUUGAAUAUAUUGUAAGUAAUACAGAAUCGGGCUAUGCGAGUAAUACUACAAUGUAAUAAAUGUACUAAAAUAGAACAUACGUUACAAGCCUUGCAAUUUAUGUCUAUAAAACAGAAAUUAUACUAUAUGUAUGCAUAUUUAGAAAGCGUCCCAUUUGCCUACGUCAAUAUUGGCCACGUCAAUAAUGGCCACGUCAAUAAUGGCCACGUCAAUAAAGGCCACGUCAAUAACGGACACAAAUUUAUCCAGGGCAUCCCUAUCGACGGGGAGCAUGUUUUCUAAUGUUUGUAUCCUUCCGAGUAGAAACUCGUUGAAUUGCGAGAAGGGCGGGUGUGUUGCUGAUGAUCCAAACUUCAUUUCCCAUAUUUCACGAGACUGCGGGUCGAGCAAUUUAACUAAAUAAUGUACAAGUAAUGGAUCCGAAUGAUCUACAGCGCAUCCUAGCGCGCGUAGAGCGCCGACGGAUUCCAACAUGGUUGUUCGUAGGUUUCUUGUUGCUUAAGCACUCUUGACCUUCAACUUUAUUUCGUAGAUUCGAUCCAGUUAAGCGGAUAUCAGAAAUGGCUUGUUUUUGUAUGUUGAUACCAAAAGCUUCCAUGCGACAAUGUAAUUUUCACUCGAGGCAGGUAGAUUGGAAAUCAAGCGUGCUGCUUCUCCAGUAACGCAUGUCUUUAAAUAAUGCGUCUUUUCUGCAUCUGACAAAUCUUUGUUGUUUCGGAUCAUUCUUGUAAAAAGAUCGUAGAAUGAACGCCAGGACUUGUAAUCUCCUGAGAAAUUUGGCAAUUUAACUCGAGGCAAGAAGUUCCGAGGCAACAUUGAGGUAGAUGUCUCAUGAUCGAGGAACGAAGAUCUGGAAUUUAAUUCAGUCGUUUUAGAAUCUUCUCGAUGAUUGAGCAGUUUGACCUGAACAUAUACGUAAAAGGCUUGACAGCGUUCAUAUACGCGGGUCUUGAGAUAAAGUUUUUCGCUCAAGUUAUCACCUCCAGACAAGCAUAGGUUUUCGUGUUCUUCCAAGAAUUUAUUCUAAUUCUGUUCAAGCAUUUCUAUGCGAGUAUUGAUUAAUUGACGGUUAAACUAUCGAACGGUGUCCAAUCGAACUGUGUUCAAUUGAACGGUGUGCAAUCGAACGGUGUACAAUCGAACGGUGCGCAAUGUUUCGUGUCUAAUAGUACGGUGGGCAAUUGCAACGUGUCCAAUUGUACUGUGCGCCAUUAAACCUCUCCCUUGAGAUACCAGCAAGUGUUGGAAGGUAUAUCGAAGUAAUAGGAAUGAGCCACCUUUGUUAUGAGACUGAGAAUCCUUAUGUAGAGAAAAUGUUGCGCACUUACCACGAAUUUUCUAAUCUUUUGAACAAUGAUGAGGAUGAAUAUGUUUUGUCUGAACAAGAGAUAGAGAUAUGUGUUUUUAUUCGAUGUGGAAUACAAAGCAAGCUAAUGCACUUUGAAAUUCAAGACAAAUAUCGAUUCUGCAUUAGGUGCUACUUACUAUACAAUACAAUACAAAUUACAUGCAAGUGUCCUGUUGAAGAUUGUACGGUGCUGUUUUAAAAAAGUGCUAAAAAGACAUAAAAAUGGAGAAUAAUUUCGAGCAAGUGGAACGCGAGCUGUUGGAGCAAGCAAAUGGAGUCACUACUUUGGGCGAGUGUUUCAUGUGGUUGCAGCGAUGCGACGAGUUUAUACAACAACUUGAGGAACAGCCCCAUAAAGCGUCCUCGGCUUGCCGUCGGACAAAGACAAUCGUUGGUGGCGAGGAUCGCGCGACUCGAAGGUGAAAAGAUACAAUUACAAAGACGUUUCGUGCAUGUAAGUGAUAAUUACGCGAGCACUAGUAAUAACGCGAACAAACUCAUGUGGCGAAAGAUAGAUACAGCGUUCGAGAAUCACAUUCAGACAGGUGCAGUGAUAAAUACAAACUAUAUUGAACCGCGAACGUUUUUAGAAGACGCAGGCGAUAUAGUGCUCGAGCGAGUGCGGGACGCUUUAGAAAAACACAAUAGUGUAAAAGUGAACACAGCAUUCAACAGCGUGUUUGUAACAGGUGAUAAACGUGCCAACAAAAGUAUAAAUACUAAAAAUUGUAAACUAUUCCAAACGUCGGAUUUGGAGUGAUACGAGCCACGCGUUAUCGAGCCCACUUUGGCCUCACUCGAAGAGUUUCAAGAACGUGAUAGCGGGUGGGCGUUGUCGCGAAUUCUCAAUUUGAUUCUAAAUAUAAGUAAAUACAAUCCUCUACACGCGGGGUGUUACGUGACAUUACCGCGAGAAAUAAUGACAAAGCGCGCGAUAGUGAACGUUAAUUCAAAAGACAAUGCAUACUUCGCGUUGUCAGUGGUCGCCGCUCUAUACCCUGCUGAAAGAAACACAGGAUUGGAGUCGUCAUAUCUGCAUUAUAUAACAGUCCUAAAGUUUGAUGACAUUGCGUUUCCCGUUACAGUAAAGGACAUUGGAAAAUUUGAGAGUCUUAACAAUGUAUCAAUCAACGUCUACGGGAUGAAAAAGGAAAUGGCAAUGUAAAGAUUCUUCCGCUGCAGCUGUCCAAUGACAAGAAAGAGAAGCAUGUCAAUUUAUUAUACGUGCAAAAUCCGCGUGAAGACAGCGUGGGCCACUUUGUUUGGAUAAAAAAUCUGUCCCGCCUCAUCAGUUCCCAACUGAGUAAAAAUGAGCAAUACAAGAAAUACACUUGCGAUCGGUGCUUGCACUAUUUUUUAUGCGAGAGGUUGCAAUCACACGCUGUGAUUGUCAGAGAAUAAACGAUUGCGCUAUCACAUUGCCUGCCCAAGACAAGUGGUUGAAUUUCCAGAAUAUAAACCACAAGGAACGAGUGCACUUUAUCGUUUACGCGGACCUCGAGUGUGUGCUGCGGAAGACGCAACAUGUGCAAGCGUUAUACACAUAUCAACAACAUGAGAUAUUCAGCAUCGGAUAUUACAUGCGAUGCUCGUACGACAUCAGCGUACCGGUUUCGUCGCGAUAAAGAUUGCGUCGCGUGGUUCACUAAACAACUUGAAGAAUUAGCGUAUAAUGUUAAAACUCGUUUAUCAACUAAUGUCCCCAUGGAAACGUUAUCGGAGAAACAAUUGGAGGCAUACGCGGUGUCGUAUCUGUGAUAAGCCAUUCACGUCGGAUGAUACGCGGGUGCGCGAUCAUUGCCACAUGGCCGGUCGUCACCGCGGUCCUGCGCAUUCUCUCUGCAAUCUAAAUUAUCGAAAUGCAUCAUACAUGCCAGUUAUUUUUCAUAAUUUAUCUGGAUACGAUUCGCAUUUCAUUAUUAAAAAAAUAGCCACAGCGUUCAAAGGGAAGACCGACGUACUCCUCAUCACGAAAGAAAAGUAUAUUUCUUUUACAAAACAUGUCGUAGACACAGCCGAUAAAUUAGAUCCACACAAUUACAUAAAACUUCGGUUUAUAGAUUCAUAUAAAUAUUUAAACACUAGUCGCAAAAAAUUGGCAUCAUUUCUAGGCAAAAAAAAAUUAAAAAUUGUACGUUCCGAAUUUUUAUAUUUAUCUGACGAGGAUUUUGAAUUAUUGACGUGAAAAGGUGUAUUUCCGUAUGAGUACGUGGACAAGCUGCAAGAUACAUGUUUACCGCCGCGCAAAUCAUUUUUCAGUUCCCUGACCUCUGAUACUGUAUCCAAGAGCGAUUACAUACACGCCGAGAAUGUUUGUAAGCGAUUCUCCAUUCGGACGUUGGGUGAAUACAGCGAUCUAUAUUUGAAAACAGAUGUGUUAUUGUUAGCUGACAUUUUUGAAAAUUUCCGCGGUAAAUGCUUAGAAGUUAUGGUCUUGAUCCAGCACAUUAUUACACUCUCCCGGGAUACACGUGGGACGCUAUGUUUAAAUAUACAAAAAUUACUUUCGAACUGCUUACGGACAUCGACAUGAUAAUGUUCAUCGAGCGCGGUAUACGCGAUGGUCUUAGUCAAUGUUCAAGCAGAUAUGCACAGGCUAACAACAAGUACAUGCAGACGUACGACCAAUCGAAACCAUCCUCAUAUCUUAUGUAUUUUGACAUUAAAAUUUGUACGGUUGGGCGAUGUGUCAGCCGCUACCGUAUGGAGAAUUUCAAUGAGUCGAAUUUUGACGUAAAUGUGAUCGCUGCUGAUUCACCAGUGGGAUACAUUCUCGAAGUUGAUCUCCAGUAUCCCCGAGACUUUCAUGACGUGCACACUGACCUACCUUUUUGCCCAACACGUGAUAAACUACCAGUCAAGCGAGAAUAUAAACUUCUCGACACGCUGUAUGAUAAGAAACGUUACGUCAUCCACUACCGCAACCUGCAACAGUGCGCGUCACGGUCUUCUUAUCGUAUAUUAAAAUUCGCACAAUCUACAUGGCUCUGUAAAUACAUAGAUUUAAAUACACAAUUCCGGACUCUCGCCAAAAA